rnacentral:rRNA from 1 species
UACGUAGGGGGCUAGCGUUGUCCGGAUUUAUUGGGCGUAAAGAGCGUGUAGGCGGCCUGGUAGGUCUGCUGUGAAAACUCGAGGCUCAACCUCGAGAUGUCGGCGGAAACCAUCUGGCUAGAGUCCGGAAGAGGAGAGUGGAAUUCCUGGUGUAGCGGUGAAAUGCGCAGAUAUCAGGAAGAACACCCGUGGCGAAGGCGGCUCUCUGGUACGUGACUGACGCUGAGACGCGAAAGCGUGGGGAGCGAACAGG